rnacentral:ncRNA from 1 species
GGAAAUCCGUUGGGGUGCCUGGGAAACCGGGCUGAGAGGCGCAGGCCAACCCAUCGAACCUGAUCCGACUAACAUCGGCGUAGGGAACGGAGCUCGGCCUUGG